UUUUUACUUUCUGUCUCUCUAUCUUCCUAUCUCUAUCUUUCUCUUCUUUUGCGGUCAGCGAAAAUUCCGUGGUUCUGUAGAAUGUUGAUUAGUAAUUUGUAAUAUUUUGUGUAAGGUGAAUGGGUUUUAAUUGUAGUUUAUGGCGAAAUGUGUAGAGAUGAAUUAAAUGAGAUGAGUUAAACGAGUUUGUGGUGAAAUGUAUAGAAAUGAAUUAAUUGCAAGAAUGUGUAAUUUGGAGAGAAGUUUUUAUAGUUCCAUUCCUAUAGUGUCAAUGCUUUCUUGUUCAGUAACUGAUAGUGUAUACCAGCCACACUUUUUUCAAUCAACUUGAAAAACUAAAGAAGUUCUGUAUCUUUGACUUCCUACUUCACUUUUUCCUAUUGUUUCCUUCUUAUUUAAUAACUCUUACAAUAAUAAAAAUAAAUUAAUACAAUUUACUUUACAAAAAAUACAAUAAAAAUCAAAAAUAAAAAUGAAAAAACGUUUUAAGUAGAAAAAAUAGAUUUCAAUGAAAAACGACGAAACUUCGAUUAGCAACAAUGGAAAUCAAGGUAAAAUCUUCAACGGAACUAUGGAGAUCUCGCUGGCCGCGCUACAAGUUCAUGUGUUCAUUCAUUUUUCACUGUUCACACCGUCGCUCAUGCCUUGCGUGAAAUUUUCACCCCUUUUUCAGCCACCACCCACCCCUUCUUUCUUCUCUCUUUCCGUUGAUCUCUUUAGUUCUCCAUUCUUCCGUUGAUUUGAAUCACCCUUUUUGCUUGGCUGUGCACAUCGAUUGACAAGUUUGCAAAAAUAAAAAAAGAAAGGAAUCAAUCGAAACAAAAAAAUCUCCCUCGAUCGAGAUACAUCUAUGAUCAUUCAUUCGUUACCUACAUUUUGCGAUCUAUAACCACCAGCAUCGGAAUCUCAUUGUUUCUCAACCCACUUGCACAUUUCCCGCAUCGUGUUUUGCGUAGACACUUAGGCUUCGCGUGUGCCGAAGCUCUCUUUUUUUUCUAUCUCUAUCUCUCUUUUUCUCUUUCUCGCCGCGUUACUCACGGGGGAAAAUGCUUUAUGAAACGGGAGAGGGGGGAUGAAACUCAUAUUGCAUUUUCCAUUGAAAAAAAGAACAAAAAAAAGAAAAAAAACAGGUGGUCCUUCCGAUGUGUUGAAACUAACGGGGGAGGGUCUAUUAUGUAUACCCGUUAUACGAGGGGACUAGUUUCCAUCUAUUCACCUUCACAAACUUCCAUCUAAUGUGCACAGCUCUGACAACUAUGUUUAAUGUGUAUAUUAAUAUAAAUAUAUAUAUAUAUAUUUAUUUAAAAAAAAAUAUAUACAUAUAUAUCACUGUAGUGUUUCACCCUGACACUCACCCACACACAAUUUUAGACCUGCUUUUAGUGGCGUUUGUACAUUGUGCUAUAUUCCUUUCGAUUCGAUAUUAUAUUAUACUUCUAUGUAUAUUCAUAUUACAUAGGCGGUUCAUAAUAUAUAUUUAUAUGAUAAUAUUUCUUUGUUUGUGUAUAGUAUAUAUUGUAUACAGGGUGUUGACUAAAGUUGCGAUUUAAGGUUAGAGGCAUACAGUGCUCAUCUAGACGACGAAAAUGUCUUAGUAAACGUGAGUUUCAAACUCGUUGCUUUCGGAGACAAAUGUCUUAAUAAAUAUCUUUGUCGAUGAAACAUAACCUCCGAAGUAGAUAUUCAAUAUGGCCGCUCAUACUGUUCGCCACGUUUACGCAUCGAUGCAUGCACGCGUUGAAAGAUCCAUUAGUAUAAUCAUUACAUUCAAAAAGAUUAUUACAACCUUCUUCGAUUAUUAUUAUUUCGAUUCUAAUAAACAUCUACUUCCUAGCUCUCAAACUGAACAAAAUGAAAUGAAGUAAACAUAUGGAAAACACGAUUUAACCAUCAAGAAUUCUUUACCAAAACUUUAUCGCUCGUUUUGAGGGGUGCCGUAAUCUUCCAAAAUCGAAACUCAACUUUUACCCGACACCCCGUGUACACACAUGAAUCUUUCUCUCCGUUAACGUGCCGUAAUCGUGUAUUCCCGACGCUUCCUUAGCUGCCGAGCUACCGCUGGCUCGCUAACGACAAAUUUUCUUUUCCUUUUUUUUCUCAAAGCAAGCACCAGAGGAAAAUGGCGGUAGCCAAGCCGUGUACUUACACUUGUUGAGUUACAGCAUCCGUUCUUUUUUCUCCACCGUUGGCUAGAGCUUUAUAUCCUCGCACGUGACAAAGAGAGAAUAUAAACGAGCGCCUGAUAUGAGGAAAAAAAAAUGAAAGAAAAUAUAUAGAAAGUAGGAAAGAAAAAAAUAUAUAUAUAUGUACAAAUAUCUAGCAUAUAUACAGCAUACAGGAUAACACCGGGAGAAACGAAAAUACACACGGCGGUGUUGUAUGAGUGUCGUACGCAUUCUGUCUGUUUGCUGUCUGUGACGCUAAAAAAGAAACGUGUGUAAGGCUCGGCAGUAUCGCGCGAAGUUUAGUUGGACCUCUCUUUUAGGGAUACCACCUAGGCAUAUAUAUAUAUAUACAUAUACAUAUAUACAUAUACAUAUAGGUAUAUAUAUAUAUACCUACAUAGUUUAGCCUUGAUCGUGUCUAGUGUCUGUCGAUGUGUGCCCGACAAAUUGUUGUCGAUUUCCAUUUGAAAUCGGGGGCGAGCCAGCGUGAUUCACGUUAGGGUAUAUGUGUGUGGGCAGUCUGCAGAAACAGGUCAGCGUUAUGAGUAUGAACUUGAGUGCCAAGCUGGACGAGCUGCAGCGGGGUGACCGCCAGCUGGAGACGACCGUCGCCCUAUGCGAGAUUCGCACACAGCUGCAGGAGCUCACCAAGAGCGUAGAGUCUUGUCAGAGCGAGGUCAGCGAGGUCAAACGGGACAUGGUCGCGAUCAAGCACGAACUCGAUACAGUACAGCAGGUGAAAGAGGAGAUAGAAGAGUUACGAGAAUAUGUGGAUCGACUAGAAGAACACUCCCAUCGGCGGAAACUUAGACUUUUACAACAGGGACUGACACUUUUCCUGUCGUAUGCAAUAUUGGCUGCAGUUUUAGGAAUGUUGCAGUUCGGAUACAACACUGGAGUCAUUAAUGCGCCGGAAGUGAACAUAGAGAAUUUCAUGAAAGACGUGUACAAGGACCGAUACGGGGAGGACAUCUCCGACGACUCCGUGAAGAAACUGUACUCGGUGGCCGUAAGCAUAUUCGCGAUCGGUGGUAUGCUAGGUGGUUUUAGCGGUGGAAUAAUUGCCAACAGAUUUGGCAGAAAGGGGGGCUUACUGCUAAACAACGUGCUGGGCAUCGUGGGGGCGUGCCUGAUGGGUUGUACAAAGAUUGCUCACUCGUACGAAAUGUUGUUCUUUGGACGGUUCAUCAUCGGUGUCAAUUGUGGCUUGAACACCUCGUUGGUUCCCAUGUACAUAUCGGAGAUAGCACCACUGAACCUGAGAGGCGGCCUAGGCACGGUGAACCAGCUCGCUGUUACGGUGGGUCUCCUGGUCUCCCAGGUGCUGGGCAUCGAGCAAAUCCUUGGGACGAAUGAGGGUUGGCCGGUACUCUUAGGGCUAGCUAUCUGCCCGGCGAUACUACAGUUGUUGCUGCUUCCAGUUUGCCCUGAAUCACCAAGAUAUUUGCUCAUUACCAAACAGUGGGAGGAGGAGGCUCGCAAAGCAUUGAGAAGGUUGAGAGCGAGCAACGAAGUGGAAGAAGACAUCGAGGAAAUGAGAGCCGAGGAACGGGCUCAACAAGCCGAGUCUAGAAUAUCGAUGACAGAGCUCAUAUGUAGUCCGACGCUAAGAGCACCCCUCGUUAUCGGCGUGGUUAUGCAACUUUCCCAACAGCUUUCAGGCAUUAACGCUGUGUUUUACUAUUCGACAAAUUUGUUCACCAGUUCUGGCCUGACAGAGGAGAGUGCCAAGUUUGCAACCAUUGGCAUAGGUGCCAUUAUGGUUUGUAUGACGUUAGUAUCCAUCCCGCUUAUGGAUAGAACAGGAAGGCGUACACUUCACUUAUACGGUCUUGGUGGCAUGUUUAUCUUUUCAAUAUUCAUCACAAUUUCUUUUCUCAUAAAGGAGUUUUUCGGUUAUGUGCAGGAGAUGAUUGACUGGAUGUCAUAUCUGUCGGUCGUGUCGACGCUCAGUUUCGUCGUGUUCUUCGCGGUCGGGCCCGGCUCCAUCCCCUGGAUGAUCACCGCCGAGCUGUUCUCGCAGGGUCCCAGACCAGCCGCCAUGUCUAUCGCGGUACUCGUCAAUUGGAUGGCUAAUUUCUUGGUUGGCAUUGGUUUCCCGAGUAUGAAGACUAGCCUUGAAAACUACACGUUCCUACCGUUCAGUGCAUUCCUAGCCAUCUUCUGGAUCUUCACGUACAAGAAGGUUCCCGAGACCAAGAAUAAAACAUUCGAAGAAAUUCUAGCGUUAUUCAGGCACGGUAACGACAGGAGCAGCUUGCGGGACAGCAGACUUUAUGGGUCAAUUAGGAUAAAAUAAAAAAAAUGGAUAUGUAACUUACGUUGACGAUGAGUUGUUGAUAUGCCGCGAUACUGUUUUCUCAUGGUUCUACGACGUCGGUGCAUGUUGAAUCGAUGCCCUCGACGAAGAUCUGGAAUUUAAUGAGAGAAGGAAAGAUUCAAUAGACAUGUAUGAAGAAGCGGAAACUUGGACAAGUCGCGUGAUGUUUUGCAGGAGCAUGCUAAACUGUGUGAAUGCAUUAGAGGGACACAUACCGCCAGCAGAGAGUGCAGCCCUGAUGGUGGCCGAGGAGAAGCCACAUCCUGAUUCAUUAUGAUUCAAAAGUGCAGAGGAAUCUAAGCGCUGAUUCUAUGAAAAAUCAAAAUUACAUUGAUGCUUCGCUACUACAAGACAUACAAGUGGUCCUAGCAGAGAACAAUAUCACACUACCCAUAUUCUCGUGUUGACAAUAGCAAAUAUUAGGAGAGUGCAAUUGAACAUAAUCACAUUAUAAAUGACAAGGAGCCACUUAACCAUGAUACUAUUGGUUCAUUAAAGUGUACUAUAACUAAGACAUUAGAAAUCUAAAGUUUAUGUUAUACAUUGAUAUUCCUCUAAGUGUUCAUUAUCUGAUUAUUUGUUUCUAUCAUUUGGUUUCUGACUUCCUCGUUUGCCUUUCAUUGUUCAAUGGUAAGGAAUUCAGUAGAAGUUUCCUUCUAUCUUAUAAUUUGAAAACAAACUACUUCUCAAAUUCACUUUUAAUAGAAUUUAUCAUUAUCUAACACUUUUUUUGUAGGAAGAAGUUGGAACUGUAAUAUCAUUAAUGAGACACAUUAAUUAUUCUCAAACUUGUUUUCACCUUAAAUAACUGUCUGCAUUUCAUGCAUUGGUCAUAGCUUUAUUGUGGCUUUCCACAACUCACAGUGCUUCAGCAAAACACUCACACCACACAGUCGAAUAAAAGUUGAAUAUAGUUGAAGCAUUUUUUUGUUUCCAUAUAGAGCUUAUAUUUCUGACAACAUCAUAAGAUAUGAAAAGAAACAUGAUAGUAAUUGUAAUUAAAAAAUUUUAUCAUAAAUAGUAAUAGUUACAGAAUAAUUUUAUUAUGUUUUUUUUACUGUAAUUUAAGAAACUUUCAGUAUUAUAAGCUCUAUGGUAUAUAAUGUAUAUUAUAUCUCUUCUAUCAUCUGUGUGAAGUAUGAUAAUCUGUCAUCCUGUUAUAUAUCUAACUAGUCAAUUUUAAGUAUUUUUAUAAACGAGAUUGGUAGACACAUUGGCUUUACUUCUAUUCUAAGAACGUAUACUAUGUUCUAUUAACACUGGCCUUUGUAGUAGUGUACGUGGAGGUAGGCCAUUUUGGAUUUCACAUAUAAUGCAAAUACGGUCUCCACAGAUCGAUUUGUAAGUGUAAAAACAUGAAAAAAAGUAAGGUGUUAUAUGAGUAUCAAAUUUAACAAGAUUUCAACACAAAUAAUAUCACAUUAUUAUUAUUUUUUAUAUAAAACUAUAAAACCGACUUCAAUACUACCACAGUUGGAGCAUGAAUGGUAUAAUGGGCAUGUGCGCAUGAAUGUAUCUUAUUUUAUUUAGAUUAAAGGAAAAUCUAAAUAGUAUUAAUCAAUCUCUUGCAUUUUUAUUUUAAACAUUUUCUGGUCUAUAAGCUUAUAUUCCUUGUAACAUUAAACACAAGAAUAUACAACCAGGGACAAAAAUUUCUCAGUUCGUCAAUCUAUCUCAAAUAAAUAAUAAAUGUUCUUACAAUAGUAAAAUGUUUUACAUAAAUAAAACUAUUUUUAUGAAUACAAUACUAUUUAACAGGGUCAUUUCGUUUAUCUACUAAACUCACAACAAUAUUUAUAAGCACACAUUUGUAUGUAAAUAUCAAAGAAUUAUUAUAAUUUUCGUAUUUUCAGGUAUUUCUUUAAAAACUUUUUACAAUUUAAAGAUUAAACUGCAAGAAGCACUAAUCACGGACAAUAAAAUUAUUUUCUACUAAUUCUUUAAUAAUAAAUUAUAUUUGUAUUAUGUUUUCAGGACAAUGGUGGCAAAUUAUAUUCAUUGCAUUUGCUUCUAAGAGUACAAUGAGAAGAUUUUCUAUAGUCACAUUCGUAAACUCAAUGACAUCUAUGAUAUUAAAGUCAACGCACAGUGAAAUAUUCAGGAGGAAGAUAAUAAUUAUAAUACAAUAAAUUCAAUAACACUCACAGGCAUAAAAGUAUAAACUUUAUACACAGAUAAAAUUUCUAAAUGUUUAUUAAGAGGUCAAAGAAAAACGUAUACUUCAUAUUUCUAAACAAAAGAAAUGGAAAAAAACAUUUGUAACGUUUUUAUAUUUUAAUUUCAGUACAACGAUCAUUUCAUCUUGAUUUUUAUACAACCUACGAUUACUACCAACUGAUUAAAGGAGAGUAAUUAACACCUGAACAUAUCAGUACUUCGAGGAAUAUAUACGCUAGUAAAGCAACAUCCGAUACUGUCUGUAAACAAUUUCUUUCUACGAGAAUUGUAGAGGCUUGCUGUAUGUCGUCUUUUAAAUUGAAACUGAUCUGGUAGAUGAAUGUGAAAGUAGUGUAACCGAAUCGCGAGUGCUUGCGGAAAAUGUACAUCUGAUUAAUCCGGAUGAACAGUUGUGUUUGCAGCUGGAUCAGAGCGAUCUUCCGGCGCACCCGCUCAACCGGAGAGACCACCGCCCCCGCUUCCCCCGCCACGCUUUCCGAACAGCGGUGUCUGACAAUGGGAAACAGCUCUUAAUAUCGAUAACUUAGUGAUCAUGAAUACGUCGAUCCCACUGCCGCUACUGUUCACCAGUAACAGCCUCACUUUGGAGAACCAACUGUUCGAGAUCAUCACGGAGAGCGGAAAGGCUUGCGCGGCCUUCUUGCGGCAAGGUUUCCGUCGAGCGAUGAACGCUACCAUCAUCGGCUGGAAUGUCACGGAGCAUUAUGAGAGUAACGUAUCGUGCAGUUGUGCUUGAAACGAGAAGACAAAGAAGUCAACAGAAGACCACCCAUUGAAUGUAUUUAAACGCUGAUUCGAUGAUGAACAUUUCGCACGGCUAGACUCGGUCGGUAACAAAAUACGCUCGCACACGAGUUAUUUUCGAUGUAUGAAUAUUCGAUCCUAUGAUCCGAAUGUUCUUCGUAUUACGAAUGUUGAAAGUAACUCUUUGGAUGGAUUAAGUGAAAAUAACCAUAGGGAAUGGUUCUCAUGGUCCGUGAGAAACUUUUUAGUGUAAUUGGGAAAUUUUUCGAUACGAUUAUGGCACAUUGUGCGAGCACGUCUACAUUAAACGAAGGAAGAAGUUAGAUCGCGGGACACCGGAAGUCCUCGAAGGGAUAACAUAACGAAAUGUUUGCGAAAGUGAUUGUGCCUAGACAUUAACGUUUUGAACGGAACCCGUAAGGAGUUAGACCAUGAUCACCAUGAGAUAAAAAUUGAACUUCGUGCGACAUCGAAGGAUAUAGAACAUGUAAUUGCUAGAUGCGACGAAUCGUUUACGAAACCCCAGAGAAAGAAAUGGAGAGGUGUACAUCUAUAUUAUACUUCACUUUUAUAUCGUUAAUUUCAUAGGAUUUAUUGCGGUUAUAUGAGAUUUUUGUAUCACUGUCGUCUUUAUAACUGAUUGCACUGUACUAAUGAUUAUCUGUUGAUUCGUUGAUUGAGAAGUUGAAAUGAAUUUUACGGCUGAAGUCUGUCAUACAAUUAACCUUAAACGUUGAGAAAUCUGGCGUCGACCAAAUUUUACUCAGACUAGCUUUUCGAUAACGGAAUUACUAGUGACGUUAAUCGCGUUAAUUAACGUCCUAUUAACACGGUGCCUCUUAAUAGCAACAUUCGCAAAUCGAUCAAAUCAUUCGAUCUUGUAACGGUAAUUACGAGGAUAUUUGUAGUACAAAUGAGCGGGAAGUCAACUGUUGCUAUGAAAUUCAAAUGGAGUGCAUACGCGAAAGAACCAUCUGUCGCUAGUUUCAAAAUAACAUGUUACUUCAACGGAUUCCAUUUUCCAAAUUUUGUACGAAUAUUUGACGACUUAAAAUUAUAAAUUAACAUUCGGAUAAAUGAAAAGACUAACUGCAGGUUGAGUUUCGUUUGAUAAAUUUUAAGGAUUAGUUUUACUAUUAUACACCUGUUCGAUUGAACAACCAGAUUCGAUAGUACCCUGCACAUUCGGAGGCAUGCCUUUUCUUACUACAUUAUGUCGUUAACGUUUUACACCAAACUGCACGUAAUUCGAUGUUACGCAAGCUAUUCGGGAAAAUUUCCCUUAUAUGUUUGUAUAUAUAUGUAUAUACUGUAUACUUCUAUCAUACUUACCCACGUCGUUGCAUAAGCAAAUGUAUGAUAAUCCUAUACUAUUCGAUAUAGUAUAUCCGAUUCCCUAUUAAGAUAGCAUUACAUGGGAACUGAUUGUGUCGUCCAUGCGAUGUUUACCUCUUUCGACACUAAAACCGUUUGUACUGACGGGCAUAACUCGACUGUGGCGGCCAUCGACCGGAAACACUACAUACUGUUCUGUAAUACAGAAUAUAAAAUUAUAAUUUUUAAUUAGACAAAAAUUAGCGCGUUAUUUAAAUUGGUUUUAAGCUAUCCGUUUGCCUGCACGUACUAUCAAUUGGAAGAGAAAUAAAUAUAUGUAUAUACAUAUACGAUAUACAAUUCAUAAUAAGAAAUGAACACUGCAAAUUUUUAGAUUGCUUAACAAACUUUUAAUUUCAUCCUUUUUUUCGGGGCGGAGUAGGAAAUAAAAUAACACCAGCCAAUGCUGACAGUUGAAACUUUCGCGUUAGCUUGUAUCGAUUAAAAUUAAACACUCCAAAAUCGGUUCGCUAUAUUAAGUAUGGCAACGUAAUCGCGAUACUAAUAUGUAGGAUAGAAAGAACAAGUAAAUGAAUAAACGGCAUGUGUGCUAAGACCACAUGUGCUAACUUAACGAAAACGAAGGAAAGGAACUCUUUAAUGAUAAGCUGUCUAAAUCAUACAGAAUCAGUGAGAAAGGCAAUAAAACGUUAUGGAACUGAAACUUAUGCUAAUGUAGAUUUUCUUGCAUUAUGGGUAUUAUCAGAAUUCUAGUCUAUCGAUUACUGAUACUUAGACUAGAUAUAUGAAUACAUACAUAGCUACUAGUUUAUAGUAGCACGAUGUAAACAGACUAAUGGUAAAGAAAAUCGCAAAUUUCGCUAAUAUCAUACACGUAUGUUAAACAGAGCGAACAUACGCGUCUCUCUCACUCGUAAUGGCUGUACAAUAAACGCGGACCGAGUACUGGUAGCAUAUCCAUUUUUUAAAUCAAUUGAAGUCUCGAAAACUUAACAUACACCCACACCAACACGUAUGUACUUACACACGAUACAUACGGUCGUAGUGCAAACGCUUCGACUCGUAUACUAUGAUAUGAAUCCGAUCAGUGAAAUAAAUGAUUUUAAUUCAAUAAAGACCUGGUACCGCGUUAGAAAAGAUAUUUUAAAAUACAUACAUAAAUAUAUAUAAAUAUAUUAUAUAUAUAUAAAUAUAUUAUAUAUAUAAAUAUAUUAUAUAUAUAUAAAUAUAUUAUAUAUAUAUAUAAAUAUAUAUAUAUCGUUUACUUUUCACAUUUACAGUUACGACGUAACGAAUAGAUAGACAUUAAUCGAGGUUCGAUACGCGAAUACGUUAUUCGUUGAAAUUAUCAAACCUAAACGUGAUUAUUCUGUUCUGGCUAUUAUCCUAUUGAGAAAAGGCAUGCUGUGAUACAUCUUCAUUGAAAAUCUCCGAGCAAACGACAACACGAUCUACACUUAGACGAAGAUAAGCUAUAAACGAUUUUUCUACCUUCGCCAGGAUUAAAAUUACAAUUAGCGCCGUUAGAUAAAUAUUCUAAUGAAAUUCAGUUAUAUCACAUAUGCGUAUAAAAUCAGCGAAACGACGAAAAAUGUUUCUCUUGUUUUCUGAAGUCUAAAAUAACCUAACGUGUAGGUGUUCGAAGUGCUUUCGAGAAACACUUUCUCCAUACCAACAGAAAAAAAAGACAGAUUUAAUUUUACUAUAAUUCAUUCUCACACGUAACGAUAUAUUUAGUGAACUCGUUUCUAAAACUGUAACAUUAUGCAUAUAUUAAUAUAUACAUAUAUAAUGGUAACUCUUAUGCGAGUACCUAUUCCGCACACUCACCACAACUUUGAUAAAGAAAAUCUGUAAUGAUUGCAUACAUAGAUGGAGUCAAUGAUAUGAUAUUAAAAUUCACCGAAUAUUGCAACGUUUAUAGAGCCUUAAAGUAAAAGAAAACGAAAAGAAAGAGAAUCAAUGAACAAAAAUUCGGAACAGUCCAGCAAAGUGAUUACAAUAACGAUUUGUAAAAUAAGUUCACUGCCACUCAAACGACUUGCGUUCUUUUGGGGAGCGCCGAUAUUCCAAAUGUGAAUGUGUACAGUUAUGUGAAAAGUACUUAUAUCGUAAUUAUAUUUACACAUAAUAUUAUUUAGAGUUAUGUGAAACUAAAUAGCAUGUAAUAAUAUUUAAGAAUGGUAUACAGACGUAGGGUACAGAUUAAAAAAAAAAGAAGGAAAAUCAUUGAUUGCAGGGCUAUUAUAUUCCAAAAGAAGAUAAGUUUAUGCCUGCUCAUUUGUAUAUUAUACGUAAAUCUUAGCAUGAAAAUAAGUGUUUCUCUGGUAAAAGAUGCUAACUUCUAAUUAUCCUCCCUAUACUUCUGUUGAUAGUAUUUAUUUUACUGACACAGUGUACUGCAUUUAAUUGUUUUCAACUUAAGUUUACUUUACAAUUAUAAUAAUUUAAAAGUAAUAUAUGAAAUAAAUUGAAGUAAUCUUUAACCAAGAAAUGUAUGUAUGAUAAUUUAUAUAUAUUUUCGUCAUAAUGGAAGAUAAUUUUUUACAAAUGUACUUGAGCAUUACAUAACUAUUUUACCCUUUUUAAAGGACUCAGAUUAAUUACAUUAUCUGGAGAAACAUUUGAUUAAUUUCUAACAUAUACAAUAUAAUUUUGAAUUUGAAUUUAAAAAAAGACCUAUAUGGACCUGUAACAUUGUAACAUGGUUUUAUUUGCAAUUGUACAUAUAUGUAGUAAUUGUUUAUAAUAUUUUAAUUACUUAUGAUUAAUAUAUUUAAGCUGAACAGAUAAAGUUAAGUGGGAAGAUCAUACAUGACAUCUUUUAAAUCUAUAAAUAAAAAUAUUUACAAAGUAGAAUGUAUAUGUUUUUAAUUGUAUAGUUACUUAUAGACAUAGUUUUUAUUAUUUAGUUUAUUUAUCAAAGGUACAUCACAUAAUAAAUAUACAAUUAAAUAUUCUUUAUUUAAAAAAAAUGUUAUGUUACAAACAUACUUUUGUGUAAUGGAUUACUAGUAUAAUUUAUUAUGGCUUACAUUCUUGAUGAUAAGGUUCUAAUGUUCGAAAAUCUCUCCAUGUUGGGGGUAACGCACUAUGUAAAUGUAAACCACAACGUUUACAUGGAUCACUAAAUAAAUUAUUUAAACUAUGGAACCAAGUCUGCAAAAGAAUUGCAUAUUAUCAGUUACUUAAAAUAAUGAGAGUGUAUAAAUCAUAACAUUUUUAGUUUAAUUACCAUAAAUGAUCGAACAGCUAAUUCAGGCAAGGCUGGCGAAUAAAAGUGUAACAUAGCAGC